UUUUGUCGCUAGGAAAUGUCCCGCCCUCACAGGAGGAUCCUGAGCCGGGGUUGGGACCUGAUUAGAAUGAGGGUUUUACAGAAAAGCAGAUUGAUUUUGUUUGGUUAAUUUAUUUUUUGGGUAGUUAGUAUGAUAUUUUAUUUUUACCCAAAUGUUACAUUUUUUGGUUAUCAUUAUCCACCCGCAUUGUAGGUGGCAGAAUGCGCAUUUAAUUGUUGCGAACGCCAUUAUACCAUAGAAGAAGAUCACCACACAGCUGAACUGAUGGGUGAUGCAUUUCGACGACAGCUGAGAAGUGAUGCGAUACCAUCGAUAUACUUUCCUUCACAACAAAAUGGAAGAUUCUCAAUUAGAAGUAACCUAACGUCAGCUAGCCUACUUGGACUAGCUGGGUGGUAUAGAAUCUUACUCCAUAAUGCGCUUCCAACCCCCAGCUCAGCACAAGAUGAAGGAGAUGUGCAGUACCAGGAAAUAUUCUUCAAGAGGACCAAACAGUUGGUGGUUAAGAAGCCCUACACCACUUUCGGCAGAGCCUUAUCCAGCUGGCCAUUCACCGCAGACAGGACAAGCCCAUCGCCAUUGCACAAAGAGUCUCCGCUUCCCCAGUGCACCAUGCCAAACACAAUUGCCAGUGUACCGAAGCCAGAUAAAGGACUAUGGCUGCAUUUACACAGGCAGCCCAAUUCUGAUAUUUUUUCACUAAUGGGUCUUUUGAUCAAUCAGAUCAGCUCUGAAAAAGAUCUGUUGUGAAAAAAUAGCAGAAUUGGGCUGUGUGUGUAAACGCAGACGGUGUGAUUCAGCAUAAGAUCAUGUAGAACACACUGGAGGAUGGCUCAUAAUAAUGGCCAGGACGGAGCAAAUGGAAUGGUAUCAAACACAUUGAAACUGUUUGUAUUUGAUAUCGUUCCACUCUAGCCAUCACCAUGAGCCCGUCAUCCUCAAUUAAGGUGUCUCCAACCCUGUUUCUGCAGAACUACCCUCCUGUAGGUUUAUGCUCCUACCCUAGUUGUAACUAACCUAGUUCCUUUUUUAAAAACCAGCUAAUUAGACUCAGGUGUGCUAGGUUACUACAGUGCUACAGGAUGGGAGCUCUCCAAGAACAGGGUUGGAGAGCCCUGAUUUAGAACCCCCAUCAAAUAAAUAUAGAUAUUUUCUAUUAGUCUUUUAAAUUUGUCUGCCCUUAUGAAUUCACAGAAGACAUUUAUAUUAAAACUGUACAGGGCUCUGUAGCAUCAAACAGAUGCUAGACAUUCAGAUAUCCUCUGUAGACUCUACAGAUGGGACUUAUUCACCAUAAUAACCUCCUUAACCAAGCCUCAGAGCGUCAGGGACUGACUGGGCCAACCCAACAGCAGGUCCCUCACAAUGAGGGGUGGGCUUCAGCUUGGCACACAAUUCCAAAACCACAUGCUUGGGCUAUAUGGAGAUUAGCAUAAGUGCUAUGUACUGGUUGUGCAUCCCACCUAAACUUAUCUGUAAUUACUGUAUUGGGCUGGAGUUCUGCUCUUGUUAGUGUAUUUUUAAAAAUACUAUGCAUUUUUGGUGUCCUGUUGUGCAUAUAAAAUAUGCUAUGAAGCAAUGAUGCCCAAGCUGCGCAAAUAUUUGGAACUCAUUGUACAAGAUGAGAUGUUAUAUUUUACAUAAUUUAUUAAAAAAAAAAUAUAUAUAUAUAUAUAUAUAUAUGCAUAAUAUGUGCAGUAGAGUGGGAAAGUUUGAUGAGAAUAAAGACUCAGUUGUGGUACCCCUUUGGGUGGAUCAUAGUGCAAAAACAUUUUAGGGACCAUGGCCACAAGCAACACAUACUCCCUCUGUUGGACUCCUAUGAUAAGGCACUUGCAUCACUCAGUUACUGUUGCUGAUAAAACAUUGUAUGAACAUCAUUGCAUUGUUCGUAAUAAUGUUGAAAACGACUGAUUCUCUCUCAGUUGUAACUGAGUACCUGUAUAUUAACUAUAGACAGACCAAAUCAACAAAGUGGUAAUGAAUAGUAUUAGUGAUCUGGACGCACCUUUUUUAAAUAAACAGAUUUGGUGUAACAUGACAAGGGAAUGGAAUGGAGUACUAUCAAGUCAUUUGUUGACACAAAAAAACUCAUGAUUUUUAAAUAUCCAGUACACAUGGUCUGUUUAUCCGCCACCAGCAGAGAGCGCCAUUUCCACUUUAACCUCAACUAGCCUGGACCGCCACUCUUCGCAACUUGAUGUUUUAUUUUGUUAGUUGUGAGGACGACGCUUCAAUGGCACUUUUGUUUUGAAGAGAAAAGUCAAGCGAAAGGUUGAUGCAGCGUUUAGCUAGCUACCUACCGAGGUUGACUAGCUAGGUGGCUUGCUUAGUUGCUGCCUCAAGCUUCUUUUAAUCACACCGACAGAGUCAUUGAGUUUUGUUUGGUACACCAGAAGUAUACUGAACCAAAAUAAAAACGCAACAUGCAACAAUUUCAAAGAUUUUACUGAGUUACAGAUCAUAUAAGGAAAGCAGUCAACUUAAAUAAAUAAAUUGGGCCUUAAUCUAUGGAUUUCACAUGACUCGGCAGGGGUGCAGCCAUGAAUGGUCCUUGGAGGGCACACAUCCAGUAAAAAUGUUGGAUUACAUAAUGAAUAGUGCUGAACAAUUGGUGCUUUUUGUGGUCGUUCAUGUUCAAUUAUUAAAAUAAUCACUGUUUUCAAUUUCGAUCAUUUUGUAGACAGUAAAUGCACUAUGCAUUAUGUGGGUUGAAUGCUAUAACAAAAUAAAACAAAAGUAGUGACGGCCCAUUACUGCUUAUCACUUAUUAACCAUAAUGUAUUCACAUGAUUUGUUUUACAUGAUACAUACAUUUUUUUUCAUUCCAAGUCAUCUCAUCUCUAUAGAGCUGCUGCCUAUGCUGUCUUGACAAAUUCACUAUUUUAGUAGUUCUUCAACGUAAAAAAGGCAUGCUUUUUAUAUGACUGAUGAAUGCCAAAGUAUCAAACACUUAGAUCAUGUAUUUUCAGGUAGUGAUACCAGUGGUGUAAAGUACUUAAGUAAAAAGUGCUACUCAAGUAGUUUUGGGGGGGUAUUUGUGCUUUACUUUACUAUUUAUAUUUUUGACAGCUUUUACUCCACUACAUUCCUACAGUGCCUUGCAAAGGUAUUCACCCCCUUGGCGUUGUUCCUAUUUUGUUGCAUUACAACCUGUAAUUUAAAUGGAUUUUUAUUUGGAUUUUGUGUAAUGGACAUACACAAAAUAUACCAAACUGGCAAAGUGAAAUAAAACAAAUGUCUUAUUUCAAAAAAUUAUAAAAAGAGAAGUGGUGCGUGCAUAUUUAUUCACCCCCUUUGCUAUGAAGCCCCUAAAUAAGAUCUGGUGCAACCAAUUACCUUCAGAAGUCACAUAAUUAGUUAAAUAAAGUCCACCUGUGUGCAAUCUAAGUGUCCCGUGAUCUGUCACAUGAUCUCAGUAUAUAUACACCUGUUCUGAAAGGCCCCAGAGUCUGCAACACCACUAAGCAAGGGGGACCACCAAGCAAGCAGCA
ensembl:lncRNA